UGGGGGAUAUUGCACAAUGGGGGGAACCCUGAUGCAGCGACGCCGCGUGAGGGAAGACGGCCUUCGGGUUGUAAACCUCUGUCGCAGGGGACGAAGAAGAUGACGGUACCCUGUGAGGAAGCCACGGCUAACUACGUGCC
rnacentral:rRNA from 1 species